CUCCUUAAAAUCCGGAGGAAGAUUUUCUCGACGGAUUCUCCAACCCUUCCUUUCCUCCAAUUCCGGUUGCCCCUGCAAGGCCGCCGGAAAUCCACCCAGGUUCGGCCGCUUUACGCGGGCGUCUGCUGCUGGUAGCGAAGCUGAAUUUAUGCUACGCUGCGGCAAGUGUGAACGCUGCCAUGGAGAAAUAAGACCGUGCAUGGUGAGGAAGAGGAGAGAAGAGAGCGAUAAGGAGGCCAACGCGGUGGAGAGAUGGAGAUGGAGAGGACAGCUUACACAGUUCAAACAAACAGAAUUCACGAGUAAAUGAUCAGCUGCAUUUGAAGCAACAAUUACCUCAGGAGCGGAUGGAGCGGAGAUCGCCGGAGCAUUUUUCGGCGACGAGAUGCUC